AAGAGCGCGAGGGCAGUUGUUAGGAAAAACAAUCUUGUAAAUUCCCAAUCUUUCGUUAUCUAUAUAAAGAUAGCCCAUCUCCCUUCUUUCAAGCAGGAAAACGGUAUUCUCGGCCUUCCAACGGAGAAUCCGCCUUCCAGAGGCAGGGCUACAAGCUCUAAAGGGAGGGGAGACACCAGUCUCAAAACCCACAUCCCAAUCGUAAUUUCUGGCAGAAUACAGGCCAGAAUCACCGGUGGGAGGCGGCCCAUGUGAAGAAUUCAGGACGGGCGUCGGUCGUUCCGUGAUCCGGCCACGGCCCACUCGGCAGCACCUAGAUGGAAUGGUGGCGAUGGCGGCAGAGGCUCUGAUGGCCGGGAAGACGGCGGGAGAGGUGGGGCUACUACUCGGCCCGCCGACCGAGUUCGGAGCCUGCCGUACUCGCUAUGAUGGGAGCCUUGUGACCAGCAAGCUGAUCCACUAUGAGUCCUUUUUCAACGAGGACUGCUUGUGUGCGACACAGAUAUCUCUGGUCCCACCAUUACCCUGUGCUUAUCUCGUGGCGAAUGGGGCCGGCAUACUCCAAUAUCUGCUUGCCACCUUUGUUGGCAUCAUGAUCUUCUUGAUCUCAAGAAUCGUAUGAAUUUUGGUUGAUAACCUGAGUCUGGUAUAUUGUUUAUCAUACCAUGUUUGGAUGGACCAUGCCCCAAAAAUUGUCUGUCUUUGUCUUCUUCAUCUCGAUCUCAAGAAUCAUAUGAAUUUCGGUUGAUAAUUGCUAGUCUGGCAUAUUGUGUAAUGGACCAUUUCUGUAUGGACCAUGCCCCAAAACAAUUUCAGUCUGUCAU